rnacentral:lncRNA from 1 species
ACUUCUCACUUAUCCCAUUGUUGCCAUUACAUCCAGUGGUAAACUCUUAAGACCUGAUCUUAUCCCGUGUUAAGAAGGUUGACUGGCAGUGUUUCUGUAAAUAUCUUCAAUAUCUUCUUUCAGUAAUUUUCACUGUUACAUCUAUCUCGAAGUUAAUGUGGCCACCCGAUCACUUUGGUAUUAUUCAGUCUUUAAAGCACAUCAUGUUGACGGGAAGAUGCAAUAUUCAGAGGACUACAUGUACUCAUCAUGAUUUCAUUGCCAUUUUUCCUCGUUGGCCUAUCGAGUCACAUAUCUCCAAAUGCCUCAUGGUUUAUAACCAUCAGCCAUGUUGGGUGCAGGUUCUUACCCACGUAGUGGGAGUGCAUGUAGCAUUUGGAUUUCCUGAAAGAAUUUUACAAUGCACAGAUAUCAUCAAGGAGGUGUUUAGUUUGCAAUUGAAAUCAGAAUGAAAAUAGAAAUCGAAAUGGCUUGGAAUAGGAAUC